UUAUUUUUGUAGUUGAUGAAUGCGCUGAUUGGGUAUUCUCGUGUGUGUGUGAGGUGCCACCCUCAAACUUUGUUAUGAUGUUGGCACAUUACCCAUCUGAUA
rnacentral:snoRNA from 10 species